GGGCCCGCACAAGCGGUGGAGCAUGUGGUUUAAUUCGAUGAUACGCGAGGAACCUUACCAGGGCUUAAAUGUAGAACGACCGAUUUUGGGAAACAAGUCUUCUCUUUGAGCGGUCUACAAGGUGCUGCAUGGUUGUCGUCAGCUCGUGCCGUGAGGUGUCGGGUUAAGUCCCUUAACGAGCGCAACCCCUAUCUCUAGUUGCCAGCGGAUAAUGCCGGGGACUCUAGAGAAACUGCCCGUGCAAACGGUGAGGAAGGUGGGGAUGACGUCAAAUCAUCACGGCCCUUACGUCCUGGGCUACACACGUGCUACAAUGGUCGGUACAGAGGGCAGCUACCACGUGAGUGGAUGCA
rnacentral:rRNA from 1 species